UCUAACAACAGCUGGACAAGAUAUGCACAUAUAUGUUAUAUUUUGAAUAAACCAAAAUUAAACGCUAUUGUUUAUAAAAACAACAAUUGUAAAAAUUAUUUUGAGCUAGGUUCUAGCUUUUAGAAUUUUUUUUGUAUUUAUUUAAUCCUUGAAAACAAUAGAAAUAAUUAUUUUUAUGAUGUAUAAGGGUUUGAUAUAUGUAAUUUUUAGAGAGGGAUAAAAUAUAUUUGCCCAGUCAUUUGGUGUAAACUCACAUGCUAGUAAAAUGUAUUGAAUCUUACUUUAAAAAAGUACAGAAACACAUUUGUGGAGAAACCAAAGGUAAACACAUAAACCAGUAGUUUCCUCUGGUGCACAAACCAAAAUACACCAGAAAGAGUUAUUGCCCUUUGUAACACUCUCUUGUAUUGGAGAUAUGAACAGCCUUCAUUUGUUUUCAGUAUGGCAGGAGGUGGAAAUUGAGUUUUUAUUCAAUUUGUUCUUCAGAAGUUUAUCAAUAUCAGAUGCUCUUUGUUCACUUAAUUCACUACCAUUAUAUUUAUCUUCAAUUGUGCUAAAGGAUUCCGGUUUAUUUCAUGGAAUACAAAUCCGUUUGAUCUUUGCCAUAGUCACCGGACUCUAGCAUCCAAUCGUCUACGUAUUCGUAGAAAAAGUAAAUGCUGUGUGGAAUUUAACGCUUUAUUGCAUCACAUCCGACUAAAAAAAUGACCAGGGAAACAGAAGGCUGACAGACAUAUUCAUAGAAAAAGCCCUGCCUGUUGCCGUGUAACGGUGUUGGAACUUGUAUUGACCUGUAUGAGCAUCAUACUGUGCAAAUCACCUAAAGAUGGAGUUGACCAAGUUGCUGACUUUGAGGAGAACUUGAAGAGCAGAAGAUGCAUUCCAUGACUCUUAUGUGAUAUAGAAGACAAAGAAGAGCUCUUGAGAAUGGAAAAAAACCUGCAAGUUUUACAGUGUAGCGGUCGGCCGGGUUCGAUCACAGGUGGCCA